GCUUAUUGUUCCCUGUAGCCCCAGGUCCUUUCCUGCAGAGCUGCCUGCCCAGCCAGUCAGGCCCCAGCCUGCAUGGCUCGUGGGCCUGUUCUGCCCUCAGAACCGUGAGAGGAACGGGCGCCAGGGGAGCAAAGGGCGAGAACCGGGGCAUGGCGCUGCUCCAAGGAGCUCCCUUCAGCAAAGGGGCUUGAGGCGCAGCCCGGGCGUGCCGGCCAGGAAGCACUAGCUGCGCCUUUAAAAGGCUGUAGCCCAGCCCAGCCACCCCCACCCGGAUCUGGCUGACGUGGGGAGGAGGCGCCUGCCGCGAACAAAAGUGCUGCCUUGUCGCAGCGCAGCAACAAGUGCGCGGGGCGCGGGCGCAGUGGAUUACAGCGGGGGCGGCCCCGCCGGGGCGCUGCUCCUUAAACCCCUCAGCUCGGCCAUGCGUGGGGCAUGACGGCGGCAGGAUGGGAGCGAACAAUGGCAAGCAGUGCGGCAGCGAGGGCAAAGGCAGCUCAAGCAUCUCAUCUGAUGUGAGUUCAAGUACAGAUCACACACCGACCAAAGCCCAAAAGAAUGUGGCUACCAGUGAAGUAUAUUUUGAUGGUUAAAAUCCUGAGGAACUCAGCUAUACAGAUGAAGAUAGUACAAUAUUUAAUAAUAAAAUCAGUAUUUAAAAGUGACGGAUCUCAAAUUGCUUUGCUAGUAAAUUGCUACAUGCAGGUCAAAAUCAGAGACCUGAAUGGAACACUUGGAAGUUUUAUAAAGUUAUAAUCUGGAUUAACACGGCUGCUUAGGCUUCACAAGGGCUUUUUUCCUCUUGUGCUGAGGGACAGUGUUUAACAGUAAUAAUUAUUAUUUAAAUAAUAAUAAUGUUCCAGUUUCAGCCUAGGUAACUUAGUCAGGAGAAA
rnacentral:lncRNA from 1 species